rnacentral:sRNA from 1 species
GAUGCUGUCAUUUUUUUUCAAUAUUGAUAGCGAAUUGGUGGCAGUCAUUUUAAACUGUGCGCCGCACUGGAUGCGAAUAGUGGUUGAAAGAUGCUGUCCAACGGCCUUUUUCUUU